UAUACAUCAAUGAGACAAUGAUAUAAAACCAAAUCAAGAAUAUCAAGGUACUAAAUAAAACAAAAAGAGUCUGCAGCCACUAAAACACCCAAUCUUUUUUUAAUUGUGGAAAUAAAUAUUCAUCAUUUCAAAAAAUUCAUUCAUAGAUAAGAAGAAAUAUUGGUAAAAGGGGUAGUUGAAUAAUGAUCGUAACCAUCGGACAAAGUAGUAUUUACAAUCAAGAAAAGCACAUACUUUUGUAAGCAAACUCAAACAACUAACAUUAAGACAAC
rnacentral:lncRNA from 1 species